GGAGCGUUCUGUAAGCCUGCGAAGGUGUGCUGUGAGGCAUGCUGGAGGUAUCAGAAGUGCGAAUGCUGACAUAAGUAACGAUAAAGCGGGUGAAAAGCCCGCUCGCCGGAAGACCAAGGGUUCCUGUCCAACGUUAAUCGGGGCAGGGUGAGUCGACCCCUAAGGCGAGGCCGAAAGGCGUAGUCGAUGGGAAACAGGUUAAUAUUCCUGUACUUGGUGUUACUGCGAAGGGGGGACGGAGAAGGCUAUGUUGGCCGGGCGACGGUUGUCCCGGUUUAAGCGUGUAGGCUGGUUUUCCAGGCAAAUCCGGAAAAUCAAGGCUGAGGCGUGAUGACGAGGCACUACGGUGCUGAAGCAACAAAUGCCCUGCUUCCAGGAAAAGCCUCUAAGCAUCAGGUAACAUCAAAUCGUACCCCAAACCGACACAGGUGGUCAGGUAGAGAAUACCAAGGCGCUUGAGAGA
rnacentral:rRNA from 1 species